rnacentral:rRNA from 1 species
GAGCAAAUCUCAAAAAAACAAUCUCAGUUCAGACUGCAGGCUGCAACUCGCCUGCACGAAGUCGGAAUUGCUAGUAAUCGUAGGUCAGCAUACUACGGUGAAUACGUUCCCGGGCCUUGUACACACCGCCCGUCAAACCAUGAGAGUUGGCAACACCCGAAGUCGGUAGUCUAACCGCAAGGAGGACGCCGCCGAAGGUGGGGUUGAUGAUUAGGGUUAAGUCGUAACAAGGUAUC